rnacentral:lncRNA from 1 species
AAUACAGCUAGCGGCCUAAUAAACGUAAUGUAUUCCUUUUGGUCCUUUUUCUUCUUUUGGAAGAGUAGUAGGGGCUUUUGGAGAGAUAGGUGGGCUAUCAAUUCUUGAAGACAAGUCCAGGGUUGUAUGGCUAGUGUGAGGACAAGCAUUCCCUCCUUCAGCUCCCAUUUUAAGCUUUGUCCUCUUCUCAAUUUGAUGGCACCACCAGACUUAUCAUUAUGAUUUUAAAUAGUGUUCUCCAAUCACAAUUGUAAUGCCAAGAUAUUUUCACUUAUUGUAAUGGCCAUUGUGAUUACCUCA